rnacentral:rRNA from 1 species
GAUGAACGCUGGCGGCGUGCUUAACACAUGCAAGUCGAACGGAAUGGCCUUGCUUAUUUGGGGUGGUCGCGUACCGAACGGGAACGUGAAACGAGUGUACCCUGACCCUGACAUAAGGAUACCAACAGGGAACUAAGACUCAUAACGGAUAGGAGUUGCAGCUGCAUGGGGGGGGAUGGAGAAUUACGGCGGUGGGGGGUGGAGUCGCGGAUCAUCAGGUUGUUGGUGGGGUGGUGGCCUACCAAGGCGUUGGCGGGUAGCCGGCCUGAGGGGGUGACCGGCCACAUUGGGACUGGGAUACGGCCCAGACCCCUACGGGAUGCAGCAGGGGGGAAUAAUGCACAAUGGGCCGAAGCCUGAAGCAGCAACCCCGCGGUCGGGAAGACGGCUCUCGGGUGGUAAACCGCUUUUGCCUGGGACGAAGCGUGAGUGACGGUAAUGGGUAAAGAAGCACCGGCUAACUACGUG